ACCAUGUAUGUUGCAUGAUUAUGUACCGUAACAAAGUAGAAUAUUCCUAACCAACAGCCUAAAAAGGCUAUUGGAACUCAUUUUGCAUAGGUAAAUGAGUUUCUAGAAGGAGUGAAAGAGAGAAACGAAUCUGUCACUUUUUUUAUUUAGUUAAGAGUUCGUUUUCUAUUUUGAAAUUUAAAUAGAUUUGAAAUGUCUUUUUUUUUUUUUUUACAUAUUUAGUCAAAAAAAAUAAAUAAGCUUUUAGUAUUAAAGUCGGUUUGAUAGAUAGAUACGUGAUUUUGAACAAGAAAUACUACAAUUACAAAACUAAUAUACAAAGUUCACAGAAUUUAUAUCCCAACAGAUACACGUACAGCUCUUAUUUAAGUGGUUCUCAAACCAUUCGCUGUGUGAUAAUAAGAUAAUAGGUAAUUAAUUAUUUACACACAAUAGUUCAUAAUAGUGUCAUGUCGUGCGUUGUGAUCCACUCAGCGAAUUAGAAAACGAGUUGGGAAAUAGUUUUGGGUCAUUUACAAAAUUAAACGGUCCAAUACAAAAUUUGCACCAUCGACUUUGAAGUUUGAAAGCAUUAUUAACAAACCUAUAGGAAGAUCCACAACUAAUCUUCAUCAAAAUCCUCGGUAUCCUCUUCUCUGAUCGUCUCCAACCUUGGAGAAAUCAGAAGGGCCGGCGCAACUUCAAUCAAAGAACUCAAAUAUCUUGUCUCCUUUGCCAUUUCUCUAACUUAAAAGAACGUUUUCUGAAAAUGAAAAUUCCAAGGACCAAAUUGCAAAACAGGCUUAUGCCCAGGUGAAGGCAACGAAUCAGUCGGAUACUGCUUCCCUCAGCUUCAAGAAAAGAGAUAAAAUGAAAGAUGUAAUUUUCAAAACCUGCUUAAAACGUAAUCUGAAUUUGUUUAUGAGAAGCAAAUGAGUGCAGCAGGCCCUUUAUAUAAUGCAAUAACAAAUGGAGUAAAAUAGAGGCAACAGCGACGAACUGAUAACCUUGGUCAGUCACCCACUCAAAUGGAAAACGACAUGUGGAAAAUGAGAAAGAUGGGACAGACACUGAAUUAUUGAUUACACUUGGCAAGCUGUACUGUUUACACGUUUUGGUGUUAAUUGUGAGAAAUUAUUGCAUGUCAUUGAUGGAGCUUGACACUGACUGGUUUUGGUGUUUUCCGUUUAUUUAUUGGUUACUUUUUGUUAGUGCAAAGAUUAGUUUUUAGGUUUGUUGAACUAAGUUGGUUCGCUCUUUUCAUUCUUUAAUAAGAAGAAGCAUGCAAAAUUGAAUCUACUGCCUAACUUGAUGCUAAAAGCGAGAAUCUCUUUACUUUUUCGCUUAAAUUAAUAAGUGUAUCAUCAAUUAUCAUAUGGAACAUAGGUUUUGCUUUCAAUUCCAAUGCAAGUGAACGUGCAUUUCACUUCCAACAAUUGGGUUAAAUAGACUAAGCUAAAUUCAUAAGAUUUCUACAGUAUCUUAUAAGAUCAUAACGUGUAAAGCCUUUUUUUUUUUUCCAGUUAUAAGGAAUUUUUAGUGCACAUAUUCGUAUUUGUAUGCUAGGGUCCUAACUUAAGAUUCAAUCUUAAGCAUGACUUAAAUAUUGUAUAUUCUCAAUGUGGUCUCAUGUUUUUACUCGAUAUGACGUGCACUGUCAUUUUUUUGACAAUUUUAAUACAAUUUAUUAUUUUAAAAAAUUACGAAUGCUAAUAAUUGAACACUAUACUUUAUAUAUCACUCUAAAUAAUUUUACCAAUUGAAUCAAUUAACAGACUGUUCUAUUCUAAAUCAAAGCCAAAAAUGUGACUAUAUCUUCGGCUUUGUGGUAAGAACUUGAGCCAUCAAUUUCUAGUCCCAGCUUUCAUGUUGGAACUUAAAUUUUUUCUCUUAGUUAUAUAAUUAGAUAGGAAUCUCUUCCCACAGAAAAUGUGGGAGUAUAUAUUGUUGGUGCAAAUUUUGUCCCAACUUAUGAUAUGGAAAUUUUGACUGAGGACAACCCCCUUAGGACUUGUGUUCCUCUUUGUUAGAUUUUAUGAUGGUGAGUUCAUUCUUUGGGCUGAUCUUUAUGGGCCUUUAUAUAUGCUCUUCUGAGUCCACUUCCUUAGGCAAUCAGAAGGUCCUUAUCUUGUGAUACUCUACAAACACAAGAAAAUGAUCAGAGGGCCGGCUUUGCCGGUGUAAACCCUCCGACGGUCAAGUCAGUCACCGAACUUUUGGAAAUAUAAAUUUAAAAAGAGAAAGAUUAGAGGGAGAAAGUUAACAUUUUCCCCUUUUGAGUCUCUUUUUUGUCUUACCUUUUAAUGAGAAUGAAAAACAUAUUUAUCGACCAAACUAAUUUGACUUGGGUCCUAGUUAUUUUGAUGACAAAUGUCAUUGUUCUUGUGACAUUUGGCAACACUUGUCCUCUAGUGUCCAUGUGGAUUGACACAUGGAUAUACAAACUUGUCUACAGAUUAGAGGAAGGAACGUUUUAUCCUUAAGUUAUUUUUACUAAGACCUUGGGAUCAUAAGAGCCUUCAAACUUAGGAGGUUUGUCCUAGGAUAAGAGCUUAGAACCUCAGCACGUUUUGAAUUUUAAAUCCUUGCCACAUAGUUGAUUUAUCCUAGGUGAUUUGUCUUACGAUAGGAAUCUAGGACCUUGGCUCCAUUUGGGCUUUGAAACCUUGUUACUUAAGAGGAUCAUUCUAAGUGAUUUGUCCACUACUUCGUGGGCUUAAUUGGGAGUUUUCUUUAAGGAAAUUUUCCUUAGAUUUUAUCCUUAUGAGGAUUUCAUCCUAAGAUGAUUUUCUUUAAGGAAAUUUUCCUUAUAUUUUAUCCUUAGGAGGAUUUCAUCCUUGGAUGACUUUCCUUAAAUUUUAUCCUUAAGAUGAUUUUAUUCUAAGAUGAUUUUCUUUAAGGAAAUUUUUCUUAAAUUUUAUCCUUAGGAGGAUUUCAUCCUAUGAUGAUUUUUUUUAAGGAAAAUUUCCUUAUAUUUUAUCCUUAGAAGGAUUUUAUCCUAGAAUGAUUUUCUUUAAGGAAAGUUUCCUUAGAUUUUAUCCUUAGGAGGAUUUCAUCCUAGGAUGACUUUCCUUAAAUUUUAUCCUUAGGAUGAUUUUCUUUAAGGAAAUUUUCCUUAGAUUUUAUCCUUAGGAUGAUUUUCUUUAAGGAAAAUUUCUUUAGAUUUUAUCCUUAUGAGGAUUUCAUCAUAGGAUGAUUUUCUUUAAGGAAAUUUUCCUUAUAUUUUAUUCUUAGGAGGAUUUCAUCCUAGGAUGAUUUUCUUUAAGGAAAUUUUCCUUAGAUUUCAUCCUUAGGAGGAUUUUUCCAAGGAUCUUUAUCCUUGAUUUCCAUCCUUAGCAAUGAUUAUUUUAUUUCCAUCCUAUGAUGAUUUAUUGAUGAUUCAAAUUUCCAUCCUAUAAUGAUUCUUUCCAUACGUGGAUAAUUUAUUUCCAUCCUAGGAUGAUUUUUGGAGAUUUAAGCUAUCUAAGGAGAAUUUGAUUCCUUCCUAAGAAUAUUUUAUUUCUAUCAUUAAUUGCCUUAAUUGCAAAUCCUCUUUAAUUGAUUAAGAUCAUCUCUCUCUCUUCUAUAUAAUGCCUCAUUUCUCAUUAUCUCAUGCAAUAGUUUACAAGAGAAAAGAGAAGAGGUUAGAGAGAAAAAUUUCUCAAGGUGCCCGACAGUGGUGUUCAUAGUAACUGGCGACGAAUUUUUGGCGGCCUUUUGCCGACUCUCUAGUGAUUUUCCUGUGACUUUCCGACGUCUUUUUGUGAGUAUUUAUUUAUCUACUUCUUCCUUUACAGCCAGAGAUCUUUCGGCGUUCAUACUUCUUCUUUUCUGUCGAACUGGUUUCAUCUUUGGGUUAGUACUUAAACGAUGUACCACUACCCAAGGAUCAAUGCUUGUUAUAUCAUUAUGCGUCCAAGCAAACACAUCAUGAAAUUCUUUCAGAAAGCUAACAAGCUGCUUCUUCAGCGGAUCAGGCAAUCGACCCCCAAUCUUCACGACUUUACUCAAAUCUUCACCAAGUGGAAAGUCUUUCAAGUCAUCAACUGGGCUCGCCCUUUGAUCAUCUUUUACUAUCCUAGGAUCAAGGCUUGUGAUUUGAAGAGUUUCUUUGCCCAUCUUGAACGCUAUCUCAUAACACUCCCUUGCUUCUUUUUGUUCUCCUCGCACGACUUCAACCCCAGCUUCAGUUGGACACUUCAACACAUAAUGAUAAAUUAAAGUUGUUGCUUUUAAAGUAUAAAGAGUCGGCUUUCCUAAGACAACAUUAUAGGAACUUGGUUGAUCAACUACAAUAAAGUUAACCAUAGUGGUCACCUUAGUUGGGCUUUUUCCGAAAGACACUAUAAGCUCUAUAACUCCUUUAGGAACUACACUUCCUCCUGCGAAACCAUGAAGUGAAGUAGUGUAAAGUUUCAGUUGUGAUCUUUCUAACCCCAUUCGAGCGAAGGUUGACAAGAAUAAAAUAUCAGCUGAACUCCUAUUAUCAAUAAGAAUCUGAUGAAGACGUUUAUUUGCCACUGGGAGGGUGACGACUAAAGCAUCACAAUGAGGAUGAUGAACUCCCCUAGCGUCAUCCUCGGAGAAGAUUAUUGGUAUACCACGAACCAUUGAUCCUUGAGAUUGAUUAGUCAAAUUAACCUCGGGACCAUUGGGUUCAUGUCUUGCUUGGCGAGCUAGAUUUUUCCUUGACUUCCUGGAGUCUCCUGCAGCCGGCCCUCCCCAAAUGCGAUUGACAUUAGAUAUGCUUUCAUCACUAUCUUCAUUCUUUUUUCCUUUUCUCUUCUUUGAAGAUUCUGGUUGCUCACUCUUCACUCGAUCCUCGGGAUUUCUUACAUACUCCUAUAGUUGUCCUUGUCGAAUUAAGCUUUCUAUUUGUUCCUUAAGCUCAAAACACUCGGAGGUGUCAUGCCCAUGAUCUUUAUGAAAAUGACAAUACUUGUUUGGAUUUCUUCGGGAUGGAUUUGUCCUCAUAGGAGGUGGGGUUCUAAACAAAGUUGGAUUUCUUACCUGCAUGAGAAUUUGCUCCCGAGUAGUAUUAAGCUCUGUAAAGUUAGUGAAUUGAGAGGCUAACCGAGGACGAGUGUCUCGGACUUCAGAGCGUUCCCCAGGACAAAAUUGGUCUCUUCUUAGAGAUGGAUCGGGUCUGACCACUCUUCUUUCUCUCCGAUCAUCUUUCUCUCCGAUCAUCUUUCUUUUUCUUUCCUUUGGUUGGUUCUCAUUUCUCUUGAUUUCUGUUCUUGAAUCUUUCUUCCGCAUUGGCAUAUUUCUCAACUCUCGCAAGCAUCUCAGAGUAAGAAGUGGGUGGUCUUUUUGAAACUGACCACCAUAGUUUUCCCAUCUUAAGCCCUUCCAUAAUACCAAAAAGUGAUAUGCCAUCAUCAUAACCAUCUACUUGGAUGAUCUCAUUAUUAUACUUUCUGAUGUAGUCUCUUAAGGUCUCCCAUUCCUGUUGUUUGACGGUCAAUAGGUAAGUCACUGGUUUUCUUCUUUGUUGGGCACUUCGGAAGUGAGAGGUGAAUUCUCUACUCAAAUCUCCAAAGGAUGAGAUGAAGUGUGGCUGCAACUUUCGGAACCAUCUUCGUGCUGCUCCUACUAAGGUAAGAGGAAAAGCCCGAUAAAGAAUUGCUUGUGAUGCUCCUUGCACUUCCAUAAGGGUGCGAUACAAUUCUAAAUGUUCUGUUGGAUCCCUCUGCCCAUCAUAAGGCUCCAUUUGGGGUAAAUGAAACCUAGGUGGAUAUUUUGCUACCAUUAUAUCAGAAGCAAAUUGUGGCUCAUGUUUUGCUGUUACAUCAUCAAGUGGGCCCAUUUCUCGAACCAUUUGCUCAAGUCUCUGCAUCAUUUCUUAUAAUCCUCUGUCAACUUCCUCUCAUUGGUCUAAACCUUCUCUGGUCAUUCUCCUCCUAGAUCUUCUUUGGUUAAGGGAAUGCUUGAGAUUAUCUUCAUUUAACUCUUCUCUAGACUUGUUCUAAAGGAGCCGGAAUCAACCACAUUACCUCCACUUGAGUUCUCGCCUUCCUUAGCUCGAGCUGGAAAUUGGCCGAAGAUUCUAUUGAAGUUACGAGCCAACUAAUCCACUUGUUGUUGAAGUCGAACAACACGAGGCUGUCCUCGACGUCUAGUGUGGCGAGGUGGAUUCAAAUGAGGAUCUGAAAGAGGAUGGAUAGGCACCACGUCAUCAUCAUCUAGGUCUCGUUGUCGUCUCCUUUGUCGGAAGUGAACAUCCUCAUCCACUCUAGAUCUUUCAUCAUCAGCCUCAAGGUUAUAGUACUCAUUGUUAGAAUCCAUGCUCAUAGUAGGGCUUCCAAGACUUUUAUCGGAAGAUCCCCACAGACGGCGCCAAACUAUUGGUGUAAAUUUUGUCCCAACUUAUGAUAUGGAAAUUUCGACUGAGGACAACCCCUUUAGGACUUGGGUUUCUCUUUGUUAGAUUUUAUGAUUGUGAGUUCAUUCUUUGGGCUGAUCUUUAUGAGCCUUUAUAUAUGCUCUUCUAAGUCCACUUCCUUAGGCAAUCAAAAGGUUCUUAUCUUGUGAUACUCUACAAACACAAGAAAAUGAUCAGAGGGUCGGCUUUGCCAGCGUAAACCCUCCGACUGUCAAGUCAGUCACCGGACUUUUGGAAAUAUAAAUUUAGAAAGAGAAAGAUUAGAGGGAGAAAGUUAACAUUUUCCCCUCUUGAGUCUCUUUUUUGUCUUACCUUUUAAUGAGAAUGAAAGACAUAUUUAUCGACCAAACUGAUUUGAUUUGGGUCCUAGUUAUUUUGAUGACAAAUGUCAUUGUUCUUGUGACAUUUGGCAACACUUGUCCUCUAGUGCCCAUGCGGAUUGACACAUGGAUAUACAAACUUGUCUACAGAUUAGAGGAAAGAACGUUUUAUCCUUAGGUUAUUGUUACUAAGACCUUGGGACUAUAAGAGCCUUCAAACUUAGGUGAUUUGUCCACCACUUCGUGGGCUUAAUUGGGAGGAAAUUUAUUAGAUGGGCCUUAUUGAGAUUAAAUUUAUUUUGGCCUUAUUAGACUUAUUAGACUUAUUUUAUUUUGGUCCAACAUAUACUUAUAUCUUUGAUACUGUAACGAUGGAUAAAUCUGGAUUGUGCCACAAUAGAAUUGAUCUAGAUUAGUCUUAAAAAAUUUCUUAUAACAAAUAUUAGUAAACCUUUGAUUAUAUUGUUACACUUCGAUAAUUGAAAAAAAAAAUCAAAGCCAACAAUCACACAACGAGCGUCGUUGAAUUAACAAGAUCACAUUUCACAUUCUAUUAAUAUUUUUUCCUGAAUAAAGCAUACUUUUUCAAAAGUUAAAGAGUUGAAUAAUUCUUUUACACUGGAACACUAACAAUACGAGCAAAACAAUUAUAUCUAUAACGAAACAAAUUAUUUAUAGAUGAUCGGACUCUGUGACUUGUAAUAGGGUAAUAAUUAUGUCUAUGAAGAAAAUAAUGACAAGAAUCGCAUUACUAAUAAAAAAUCACAUGUCAAUUUAUAAACAUGUUAAUCAUCUUCCAGCAAAACUUACACCACCUGUUAAAAGAGAAGAAAAAAAGGUUCAGUUUACACGUAUAUAGAAUCUUAUCCCAUUGGGUUAACAAUGACUGAGAAGCAAGAGAAACAAUUUGCCACUAUGAUCACUGCGUUCAGCAUCCUCCUCCUCGUUGGAUUCUUCAAUGAUUGUGUCCAAACGAGGAGAAUUUGAAGGCUUCUUUGGGUAAAUAAUGGGAGCUGGAGCUACCUCCGUCCACGACUUCAAUUCUCUAAUUGCCUUGGCCAUAUUUGAUUGAAUCACCCCAAAACAAAACGAGUUAAGAGAAAAAAGGCUGGAGUUUAAAAGGGUUGCAAAGAGUUGACUCUAAGAAGAGAGAGGUGGGAUUUUAAAUUGUCUAUUUCUUCAGAAAAAAAAAAAAUGAUUUUCUUUUUGAACGAGGGCAGAGCAAAUGACCAAGUAGCGGGCUUUUUAUAAGCGAAGAGAGAACAUAAGUAAAUAGCGAAAGAAUGGAAACAAAAUGCGGGCCAAUCAACAGGAAAAAUUGGCGGUGAGGUGGGAGUACAUUUGUCCAACGUUAUAAUGACUUGUAAAAAGAUACUAAAAAUAUCAACAAGCAACCUCUAUGCGUUGGAAUUUGUAGAACCGAACAUUCUGGAAAGAAACCGUAUGAUUCACAGGACACACAGAUACACAACAAAACAGAUGACAAAUUAUAUCAUGCAUCAAAUGACAAAACCUAACAAGUAAACCUUAAAAACCCUUUGCGUGUCCCGCCGGCUUGGCUCAAAAACACCCUAUGUCGCACGCAAUAAUUUUUACCAGCAAUUAAGAUCCUAACCACUGAUGAAAGUAAAAAUGCUACAAAUUUAAUAACAUACAUGUGAUGAUUUCCAUACGAGAGAAGUAAAAUUAUAAUAAACUAAUAAAAAUAUGGCAAUUGGUACGACUCAAGAUUUGGGCUUUGCACAUUCAUUUUAUUCCUUCAGAUGGCAUUCUGACAAGAUUAGAUAUAAUCAGGGCGAGAACUGCUUUGUGCCACAUAGCCUUUGUGUUUAUUAGAAUCAUCCAAUAUGCAUUGUAGAGUAUCUGUGCAUUUGUUAUCCUAUAACUAGUAAAUAUUGACAUCUAAUUCUGUACAGAUGUCAUGAUUUCACAGUACAUUUUCAUACUCUGGAUUCUGGAAAUCAUUAGUGGCACUAAGAUCUACCACAUUCGGCUACCUUUGGAAGCUAAGAUUAAGUGUAGAAUUAAACUAAAUUUUAGGACAAAAUAUUAACCCAUGCAUGACAUGCUGUCACUUGGAUUGGACUAAUAGCCUAAAUUCAAAUCUUAACACUAAAUUUAUGGAAUUAGUAAUCUCAAUUUUUAUGUAGAUUUAGUUAAAAUUAGACAAUAAGAAAAAAAAAUGUUAAUCCAUGCGUGACAUGCUGUUCAUUUAUUUAUUGUUAUAAGUUAAGUAAUUUAUUUUUUCUUAUUCAUGAUCUCCUUAAAAAUUAUUAGUUAAUUUAUUAGUUGAAUAGUUUUAUUUAUUUUAUUUAAUGAAAUAAUAAAUCUCAUAUGACAUAAUCUAUGAUUUAAAAAAUUUAUAUUUCAUUAUUAUAAUUAUUAUAACCCAAUAACUAAUUCAAUAUAUAUAUAUAUAUAAUUUUUUCUUAUCAAUUUUAUUUUAAUCAAUUAUAAUAUUUCUUAUUAAACAUCUAUAAAUAGCUGAUGUUUAACCAUACAUAAGUCAGCACUAAACAUGUAAACUAACCUAACAAAAUCCAGUGUAAUCUAGUCUAAUCUUAAUAGUUAGUCUAAUGCUCCAAUCCAAUCCUCAGUGCCAAAUGUAGCUUACAGCCUACAUGUACUAAAAGAAGAAAGAGAAAACCCCACAAAGAACCUACACAUUCAGAAAUAUCAUAGUGUAACACACAAGCUUCACCUUACUUCAAUUUAAACAGGAGCAUUUACUUGCCAUUUUCACAAAAGCAAAGCACAUGCCAACUCUUCUAUCUGAAAUUAAAAAACAAAGAUCGUCCACCCAGCUCCAUAGUUCACUUAUUCAACAAUACAUUAGAAGCACUGUCAAUUUUUGUAUGAAUAAGUCAAUCGCAUCUUACCCUAGGAUAAAAUCAUUAACAACCAUGCUUAUAAUCACAAUUACAUUCAUACAAACUCUAAGUUCAAGACCACCAAGUAAAGCACAAAAUGAAAAGAUAACCUUGAAAGCACUAUUAAUCAAAUAUGAACUUCAUGAAGUGCAAAGUAACCAGAAACCAAUUAUAAAUGCAAUGAAUGCAUUAUAUGCCACAAAAAUACAGCAAUCAGGUAGUGAUGGUAAUUUCAAACAAUUAGUUGAAACUAGGACAGAACUACCAGAACAUAUGCUUCCACAACCAUACCGUGGACACCGUUAAUCCAACAAACCAUUACACAAGCAUGUAUUAACCCAAAGAAAAAAUGAAAGAAGAAAGAAAAGAAAAGCUACACAUGAAACAGAUCGGCCCACGUGAAACAUAACUCCCAGUUGUGUAAGGAUCAGUGGCUUCACAUGAAAAUACCCAUGGAAUACUUAAAAUAAAAUCCUGUCAUCCUCAAGAUGGACUCGACAAUGGUUUUAAGCAUCAGACAAGCUACAAUUAAGUUUAGAAGGUACUCAUAGACCUAAAAUUAAGAGAAAAAUCAAGUUCAGCUAUGCGUAUGACAAAUCUGAAACUCGAACAAAUUGUGAAACAUAACAAAAAAAUCAAAUAAUACACAUAGGGCAUAUAAUCAAAUCAACUUAUUUUGAGCUAUCUUAAAUAUGUAUCCUAUUCUCUAAAACUAAGUACUGUGACAAAAUAAUCAACCCGCGUCAACAAAAAAUCUAACCAACUUUCUAAAUUAUCUCGACUCAUUACACUUAUUUCUUCUAAUCAGUAUCCCACACCAAUAACACUAUGUAAGACAUCAGCACACAAUUUCAGCAGGAUUGACAGUCUGUCAAUAGAUCAAAACAAGUUAUCCAAAAUGAAUUCUCAAACAUCAAUGUGAUGACACCCUAGUGCUGCAGGCGCUUCCAUAGCCACCACAUUAGCUUCAAAUAAUAUAAAAACACAAUGCGAAAUAAACAAGAUUCAUUUGCAUUAGAAAAUUUAAAUUUCAAAGAUCCAAUAUACGUUUUCUGAAGCAUCAUUCAACAUAAGUCCACUAAAUUAAACCUUACAUCUCCUAAAUUCCAAUAAUAAAGCACUCGUUUAAAGCUCGAAUAAUUGGAGACAUCAUCAAAAUCCUUGUAAAGAUCCAAAACUGAUAAUUAAAAAAAAAGGCACUGAUAUAUAGAGAUAAAAACAAAAAUUAAAAUCUAAAAUAGACCCCCUCACAAACAGAGUCUUCAAUCAAGAGGAAUUUCGACAUCACCAUCAGUGAUCUCCUGCUGCAGGUCCCUAGGGUCCUUGCCAUCGACCGUACACCCAACAGAAACGCAUGUGCCCAAAAUCUCCUUAACGGUGCCACUCAAAUCCUUAGCCAUCGACCUGGGCCGCAUCACUUUUGCGAUUUCGAUGACGUCAUCGAGGGUAAUGUUGCCGUUGUGCUUGAUGUUCUUGGUCUUCUUCCUGUCCCUCUCGGGUUCCUUGAGGGCUUUAAUCACCAGGGCGGCGGCGGAGGGAACGACGGCGACCUUGGCCUGACGGUUCUGGACGGUGAGCUUGACGGUGACACGUAAGCCCUUCCAGUCCUUGGCGGUUUCCUUGGCGAUGUCCUCUCCGAUUUUCUUUGGGGAGAGACCGAGGGGACCGAUCUUUGGGGCGAGGGAACUGGCGGCUCCCACCUCGCCACCGGUCACGCGGACGUACACGUCCACCACUUGGCUCGGGUCGAACUUCGGCGGCAUGAUUGCUCUGCUGGUUACGGCUACAAAGAGUGUGUGAAGUGCUUUUUGCUUGCCCUGUCUUUUGCGAUUUGCGGAGGCGCAGCAAGAAAUGAAUAUAAGCAGAAGCUAGGGUUUUUAGCGGGGUUGAGGCCAAAUUACGAUUUUCUCCUCGAGGGAUUGGAAGAUUUUCGUGGGUCUUUAUUUGGGCUUAUUAAUUGGGGGGAGGUGAUGGAUUAAAGGGCAGCCCAAUUUAGUAUAUGUUUUAAAUUGGGUAAUUAGCUCAAUACUCACUUUGAUGAAUACACAAAAAUAUGUAUUAAAUGGGUUUUGGGUUGUAUAAAGCCUUAUCCUUUCAAUUCAGGCUCAUUUUGGGAUUGUUGUAAGAGUAGAGUUUUUGGCACCCCUGUAACUUCCUCAAAAAGCCCCGUUUAUGAACUUUCAAAAACCCCUUUGUAAUCCCAAAAUUACCCUCAUCUUUUUACUUUUUAUUUCAACUGCAAAUUUUAAAUCUUAAUUUUUCCCUUUUCCAGAUUUUAAGAAAAAAAAAUCACAAUUGCAAUAGCUGUGCUCCUAAUAAUCAAUAUUUCCUAUUGAGGGAAGCGCUUGAAAGGAGAGGAUUGGCGCCUGGUGGGCUGCCCUAAGUUGGUGUAGAUCCUAGUUAAAAUGAUUGUGCAAUGAGAAAUUCUUAUUGUUUAAAUUGUUCAUCCUCUUUUGAUAUAAUGUCAAUCUAUUAAUGAUUUGUUCAACUUUGGCUUAAGAAUAAUUGAUUCAUUAGCACCCAAUUUAUGCUUAUGCGCUAUCUUAUUAUCUAUAAAGAAGAAAGAAAGAUUAGUCAAUAGAUAAGCGAGAUAAACAAUCAUAAAUAAAAUAAAAUUAAGUCUGUUGAAAGAAAGAGAGCUUUUUUGAGAAGAAGAAGAAUGAUGUUAGUUUUUCAAUAAAAAAUGGGUCCAAAAUUAUUUUGAAAUCACCAAUAGGGAUGAUAAUUUGACCUGACCUAAAUUUUAACCCUAUUGAUCUGACCUUAAUUUUUUCGCACUUUGACCUAAAAUUUUUAGUCUCGGGUCAGGUUUGGGCCAAAAAAUUAAGAUCCGAUCAAAUUCGCGCCAGGGUUUAAGCCCUAGCCAACCUGAUCUUGAAAUUAAAAAAAAAAAAAAAACACAUGCACACAUCACACACUCACACUCACACACACACAUCACAUACACUAACACGAACACAUCACAGACCCACACUCUCUCAAGUCUCAAUCUCACAAAACCUAAGUGAAAACCGCGCAGCGUGAUUGCAUGAAUUAGCUCUGCUCGCCUACUCCAGCCUCCAAGUAACCAACACCGUCACUUUGUCAGUCUAUCAUUGCCUGCUCCAGCUCCAAGCCAUCACGCACAACUGCACGAGAGAGGCUUCAAUCCCACUGCCAGCCAACCAGCCACGCAUGACUGCUCCAGCUCCAAGCUGCCACCCACUGCCAGUCAACCACCACAAUAGCCAUCACAAUUGAGUUUUUUUUUUUUUUUUUUAUAUUAAGUUGUGGAAUUGAAUUGUAUGUGAUUGAAAUGGUUAUGGAAUUGAAUUGUGUAUUUUAAAUUCGGUAUGUGUUGAUUAUAAUCCUCAUAAUCUUUUGAGGUUAUAGUGAGUUUGCAACAUUAUUGAACUUUUUAGUUUGAUCUGAUUUAGUAUUCGAAUUCAAGAUUAACAACCUUUGUGGGAAGAUUAUGUCAUUUUUUUCCAAUUUAAAUUACUUGAAAAUCUUAAAAAGAAGCUUCAAGGUAUAAUAUUCAAAACAAUUAUGGUCACCUCGGCCAGGCAUGACCUGAAAGAAAAAUGAUUAGAAUUUUAAUCGGGUUAAAAUUUUUAUUUUAGUAAUUAGGUCAAGCUCAGGUUUGGCCAAACCCGAGCCUGACCCAACUCAUUACCAUUCGUAAUCACCCAUUUUACUUUAGGGUAUGGCAAGAAAAUGAGUUAUUUGUAGAAAUAAAAAGCAUGCCAAUAGCACCACUCUUUUAGUAAAAUGAAUUAUAAGUUGUCAAAUAAAAGUAAAAUACAUAUUAGGUAACAUCAACUUAACAUUCAAAACAAAGUUUAAAUUUUUUUGAAAUACUUUUAGCGACUUUGCUUUGAAAGCAUUUGGCAGCAAAAAUAGAGUCUAAAUAUGAUUUAUCAAUUAUGAUUGAAUUAUGUCUAGUCCAUUUAGGCCACUCUAUCCACCUCUUUCUUAUCAUGCAUUAAUCUCCCCAAAACUCUCUCUAAAUUUCAAUUCUCUCUUCAAAGAACUUUAUAAAAAUUCAAGUCUCUUCCCUUUUUCCAUCCACAAGAGAUUCUCUCCCUCUUCAAUAUUCUAUUCUUCUUUUUGUUUUUUUGUUUGAGUUUUCCCCCCAUUCUUAAAAUGAUAGCAUUUUUUUUUUUUAAGUUCAUAUUUGAAAAGUUGAAUACUAUAGAUCGAUCAUUGCCAUAACUAUUACAAAAUCAAUUAGUAAAGUAAACUUUGACAGUAGAGGGUACAUCAUAAGAGCUGAAGCUCAUUCUAAAUGAAUUUAAGAUUUAUUGUACACACGUGAAGUGGAGGUAUCCUUUGUUGAUAUCUUAAGUGCACGAUCUUUCCUCUUUGCAUGUCAAUGAGUUAUUAUCAUGGGUGAAAGUUCUUUCCUCCUCACACCUUAGUAAGUUACAAUAACUUAGCCAGUUGUUUGUUGUCAUGGAUUACUAUAAUUUGAUUCUACGGUCUACUGUGGACAGUGGUGUAUUGGUAUGCAUUUGGAUUGCAAUGAACUAUUAUUUUCUUCUUCAAAUUGGAGUACACUCCGAUAUAUCUAUAAUUAUAGUAUGAAUUAUUUUUUUGUUUGUACAGAUCAGGAUAGAUUAAGAUAUAAAGGAUAAGAAUUAGGCAUAAGGGAAAUUUACGUAAAAAACUUUAUGAAUUACAAAAAUAACUACGCCAAAUUUUUUCUGUCAUAAAUAGCCAAAAUUUUAGACAUAAUUACCCUUACAUUUCUAAAAACAAAAAAAAAAAAAAAAACACUAAAAGAUUACAAUAAACAACCUUACAACUUCCCUCUUUAGUGCUGAUUACAACAAACUUCAAUUCAUAGUUAAAGCGACUCGAUGGCAAUGGCGAAUUAAAGGCAGCGUAUACUAGCAACUUCGAUUUUACACAUUCUUCACAUUUUUGGUACAAUGAAUUAGAAAGUUAUGUUGGGUUAUGGUGGGUGUUGCGACUGAGUUGUUGUGGUAUUUUUAAGAGUUGUAUUGAUGAUUUUGUGAAGUUGUAAAUUUUGAUUUUAGUUGAAAAAGUUAUUAGAUUUGCAAAUUGUUGCAUUUGGAGGAAAUGAUAUGUUAAUAAUAUAGUACAAAAAUAUAGUGCACACUCAGUGUUUGACAAAAUGCCACACAGAGUUAUUUUACUUUUGGUUUCUUCUUUUAAGAUUUUAAAUGGCCUUUUUUUUAUUUAUCUUUUUUCUAUAUGCUCAUUGCCAUCGCCCAACAGCGAGCUUAGUACCAUCGCUGCCUCCAAUGUAUGUGAAAGUAGCAAGCUUACUGCCAUUGCCCUCAAUUGGUUGUCAUUUAAAACUACCUUUUAUUAUUUCCUAACAUUAACAUGUUAACCACUAUUUCAUUUAUCUCUCAUCACUCUAUCCAAGAUUGGUGCAACAGGCUACCAAAAAAUUUAGCAACUAUGCUUGGUGUAAUAGGCACAUUUAUUUCACUUGUGUUUGGUGAACAUAGUUUUUUUGUGUUUUUUUAAUCUUUUAUUAUAAUUUUAUAAUGAAUAAAAUUUGGAUUUGACUGUUAUGAUUGCGGUAGUUUUGUGUGAUAGGUUGGUAUAUGCAUUCAUUUAGGUAGUGUUUACUUGCUGGAGUGGGAGUGUGGAGUGUGGAUUCUUCCCACUCCAGUGUUUACUUACCUUAAAAAAGGGGAGAGUGGGAGUGGGAAUUCGUGGGUCCCACUCAAUUUUAAUUAAUAAUAAUAAAUAUUUUAUUCUAAAAAAAUAUUAAUUUUGUACUAUAUUAUCAAUAAUAAUAUUUCAUUUGUGUUGCUAUUAUUAAUAAUUUUUAUUCACAUAAUUUAAAUUAAAAUUAAUAAAAAAUUAUGAUUUACAUAAUUAAGAAUAUUAGUAAUUAUUAUUAAUUUAUAAAUAUAAUAAAAUAUUUAUUUUAUUUUCUAAAUAUAUUUUUUAUUAAUGUUUUAAUUACAAAUUAUAAUUCUGUACAUAAGGAUAAAAUUGUAAUUUAAAACAAUUUACUCCCAAUCCAAGACAAAGUAAACAAAGAAUUGGGAUUCUCAUGGACAAUCCAUACUUUCAUUUAGUCUAAGUAAACACUCUACUCCCACUCCCACUCUACUCCCACUCCCACUCUACACUCCUAAUCCAAGGAUUCUCACUCUAAUCCAAAAAGUAAACACAGUAUUAGUGCAGUAGACAUCAUUUGUGCCUAUAUUUAGAUGCCUAUCGGUUAGUGUCUAUCGCACUUAUAAUGUGUAUAUUGUGGUGCAUUUGUAUAUUUUCUAGGUUUUGUCCACUACUUCGUUUUUAUUCUAAAUUUUAUGAUUCUUAAUUUUUUUUUUUACAUAUAUACCAAGGCAAACUAAUGAUUUUAUGAAUCCACAUUAUUUAAAAAACAACAUUUAAAAUAUUGUCCUUAUUAUUUCAUGAGUUUAGUGAUUUGUUGAGAGUGAUGAGGUUUAGAGAUUUGUUGAGAGCAUUGAGGCUUGAUGAUUUAGCAAGUGGUAUUGGUUUGGUAAUUUGUUGAGAGUAGUGAGCGUAAUUAUGUCCAACAAAAAUACCAUUGACUAAUUAUGAUUAAAAAAUAAUUAAAGUGGCUAAUUUUAUAAAAUCUUAAAGUUUUUAGGUUAUUUAUAUAAAUUUCCUUAAACUCGACCCAUUUACCUCGUAUGUCUAGUCAACAAUGUAAUGUCUAUUUUUCUUCCCAGGUCCCAAACUGAUAGGCGAGAAUGUACCUUCAUUUUCGACACGAAAUGUUAUAUAUAUGCUACUUACCAAUUAAUUGAUCCCAAAUGUAGCUCUAAAAAAUCCCUAAUUAAGACCUUCAUCAUGAUAAUCUAGAAGAUGCCUAGUUACUUAUUUUAUACAAGAAGACUAUAUAUAUCUUAUCCUACCGACGUCCUUGAUGGGAUAAAGAUAUCGCUUGUUGCAUUUCAAGCAGAGAUAGUAAUUAUUAUUAAUUUAUAAAUAUAAUAAAAUAUUUAUUUUAUUUUCUAAAUAUAUUUUUUAUUAAUGUUUUAAUUACAAAUUAUAAUUCUGUACAUAAGGAUAAAAUUGUAAUUUAAAACAAUUUACUCCCAAUCCAAGACAAAGUAAACAAAGAAUUGGGAUUCUCAUGGACAAUCCAUACUUUCAUUUAGUCUAAGUAAACACUCUACUCCCACUCCCACUCUACUCCCACUCCCACUCUACACUCCUAAUCCAAGGAUUCUCACUCUAAUCCAAAAAGUAAACACAGUAUUAGUGCAGUAGACAUCAUUUGUGCCUAUAUUUAGAUGCCUAUCGGUUAGUGUCUAUCGCACUUAUAAUGUGUAUAUUGUGGUGCAUUUGUAUAUUUUCUAGGUUUUGUCCACUACUUCGUUUUUAUUCUAAAUUUUAUGAUUCUUAAUUUUUUUUUUUACAUAUAUACCAAGGCAAACUAAUGAUUUUAUGAAUCCACAUUAUUUAAAAAACAACAUUUAAAAUAUUGUCCUUAUUAUUUCAUGAGUUUAGUGAUUUGUUGAGAGUGAUGAGGUUUAGAGAUUUGUUGAGAGCAUUGAGGCUUGAUGAUUUAGCAAGUGGUAUUGGUUUGGUAAUUUGUUGAGAGUAGUGAGCGUAAUUAUGUCCAACAAAAAUACCAUUGACUAAUUAUGAUUAAAAAAUAAUUAAAGUGGCUAAUUUUAUAAAAUCUUAAAGUUUUUAGGUUAUUUAUAUAAAUUUCCUUAAACUCGACCCAUUUACCUCGUAUGUCUAGUCAACAAUGUAAUGUCUAUUUUUCUUCCCAGGUCCCAAACUGAUAGGCGAGAAUGUACCUUCAUUUUCGACACGAAAUGUUAUAUAUAUGCUACUUACCAAUUAAUUGAUCCCAAAUGUAGCUCUAAAAAAUCCCUAAUUAAGACCUUCAUCAUGAUAAUCUAGAAGAUGCCUAGUUACUUAUUUUAUACAAGAAGACUAUAUAUAUCUUAUCCUACCGACGUCCUUGAUGGGAUAAAGAUAUCGCUUGUUGCAUUUCAAGCAGAGACAGAAAAAAUCCUAAUAACACUUGAUAGAAAAAAAAAAAAAAUCUUUUAACAAGAGUGACAUUAUUGGGCUUUAUCUUUUACUAAUAGCUUUGAUGAUUUCAUUGGAUGCCUAAGUUUUUGUUUGUUAUACUAAUUCAAGAUAAUCAUUUUUAUUGUACUUGAUUUUAUACUUGUUUUUAUUUUUUUUAUGUGUCCAUACAUGACCUACAAAAAUUGGGAUUAAAGAAGUGUUGAGGCGUAGUGGGUCCAUUACUUAGGUCCGAGGGCCUAAUCUUCUAACCAAGGAUAAGAUAUGAUACUUUUAAUUUCUAAAAUAUAAUUAAUGACCCAUUAUUUGCAGGCACAAAUUCUUUAAUGGUUGUUGGAGAUUGCGCUUGAUCACAUGAUGUGCCCAAAAUCCAAAUAAUUCUUUGAUACAAUAAUGCAUAGCCAAAGAAUGCAUAAAUAUUAUAAAAAUCCAUUUUCUUCUGUCAAAGGUAGUGAGAACAUAAAGGAAACUUUACAUCCAUAAUUUGAUGGAAAUCAACUAGUAUAAUAACUAUAUAAAAAAAAUUUGAGAACAUGAAUGAGCCAUAAUUGUAGAGGAUUUGUGUAUAUUAAUAUAUAGUAAGAUCAGAGUGUUUAUUAUUAUGUUUAAAUGUAUAUAAAAAUGGAAGAUAGACAGACAUGCAUGGAUUAGACAAACUUAUAUAAUUGGAUUCAAUUUUUCAUUGAAAUUAAUGGUACACAAAGAAAAAGAAUAAUUAAUCAAAUUGAACAUAAAUUUACUUACAACUCAAUUCAAUUCAACUUAACUUUUAACUCUGGCUUGUAGCUCAAUAAUGAGGUUGUGCCCUCAAUAAUAAGGAUUAGUUUGAUAAUAUUGUAACUUUUACAAUAAUUAUUGUUGACUGUACUAUAUAAAUAAUUAGAAGUAAAGAGAAUUGGUUAAACAGCUGGUAAAAUUAAUUGACACAUUUAUAAACAUGUAUAAAAUAUUUUUUUAAAUACGUAUAUAUAAUAAUUGAUAACUAAAAUAAAUAUUUAUUAUUAUUUUUUUUAUUUUGUUAUCUCAAUAUAAUUGGUAAUAAUAAUAAUCUCUUUAAAAUUAAUGAAUUAUUUCCUAAUUAACAAAGAUAAUUUUAGAUUUUUAUAAUAAUAUGAGAGCAUGUAUAAUUGCAUUAAAUAUAAAACUGACGAUUUUAUUAAAAGUGAUUUUUAAAAGAAUUUAUCAAAUACUAAAAUUAAUUUUUGAUUUUUCAAAACUAUUUUUAAACCUUUCAAAAAUAAUUCCAAACAACCCCUAACUCUCAUUAAAAUUUUCUCCUUUUUCACAAAAUAUGAAAUAAAAUAUAUUUAUCAUAAAAUUUAAUAUUAUUACUGAUAAUAGAUUUUUGAACUAUACUCAAUAGAUCCUUUGAAGUGUACCAUAAACACAGAUAUUGAUAUUCUCAAUUAACCAAACUCUACGCCGGUGGCAAAUCACACAGUGGCGAAUAAUCACACAUGGGUCAAUUUUUAUUUAUUUAUUCAAUUUAUUUUGUGAUAAUGCGUGACACCACUCCCUACUUUGUCGUUUCUUCCAAGUUUGUGACACGUGUCUUCUGAAUUUCGCUUUAAUUGGACCGCAGAUGAACAAGCCACGUCAUUACCACUGCGCGACAAAAAUGGAAGCAUCGAAGGCGUAAAAUUUCUUACAUGACGUGUCAGGAUAUUGACAUUUGGAUCACUAUUGGACGGCGAUUGGCGGUGGACCCCACAAUGAGUCGGAUGAGUCUCAGACGAAUGAGUGAUUUAAUAAGGAGUGUCCGUCGGUCCACGUGUACGUUGGUCCGAACCGGUUAAAUCCGACGUUAUCCACUUACCAGUGCCGCUGUGUACGGCAAAAUUGAUUUAUAAAAUAAAAUAUUAUAUAGCGUGUCAUAUUUUCAAGUGAUGAGAAUUUUGCAUACUGUGGAUUGUAUUUGUAAAUUAUUAUCCUACGUGCAUUCCGGUGGAAAUCGAAGAGUACAUUUGCCCGUCGAGAAAUUCUUAUCUGUUGGUGAGUCCAUAAAUGUAUUAUGGACUCUCCUUUUGAUUUGCGUUUAGGAUACAUAAUAUUGCCUUCUCAAGAAAUAUGGCAUCUAAUGAUAGGUGGUGGAAGAUUAACGUUUAAAAUAUCACUUGAGGUACAUAGUCUGUCGCUCAAGUGAUAUUUCACUUAUAAUUAUUAAUUAUGUAUCCCAUAUAAUAUAUCUGUAGUACUAAUUAUUGAUUAUGUAAUUAUGUGCAAGAAGCUCAAAAAAUCCUAAAUAGACUGAAGUUUAUAAUAUUUUGAGAUAUUUUAAUUCAGUUAUAUUCUAAAUAAUUUAAUUUCUUACUUAGAGUUUUAUUAUUUAGGCAUGAGUCUUAUUAGAGUAGUAUUUCUAAUUUAACUAUGAUUAGGUUAUAACUAGUAUUAUUUUAAGUCGAGACUUAAUAUUUGUUAUUGAUCACAUUUUUCAAUUUAAAAUUAUAUGAGUUGUUGAAUUAUGUUACAUGUAAGUGCUUCAAUUUUAUUAUUCAAAUCUCUAGUCAUUCUGUGGAAUCAACGAAACUUUACACUUAUAAUCAAAAUCAAUAUAUAUUUAGUUAUUUUUUCUUAUUCAUAGGUAUUCUCAAAAUUAACGAAAUAUCGUCAAAAAUAUCUCUUAUCUAUUCAUCAUCCUACAUCUUUUAUUUUUUUGCUGCGUUAUUUUUGCUGCAGAACAUUUUAAACGUUUUGUAGAACUUGAUUUGUGAGCUCAUGCUAAACGCGUGAGGGUGCCCGCUUUUAAGCAUUUUCAUUUUACUUUACACACAAUACUUUAUUAUUAUCUGCCUAUUCAAAGGCCGAGCUCAUGCUUAUCCAAUACACUAUAAAAAUGAGACUCAAUCAAACGAUACAAAGACCCCCCAAAAGUUAAGUUAGAGUAGAAGAAACACAUAACUGAUAAUAAACGUCUGCAAACUUCCUCCGUUUCAAAGAAAGCAUAAAAAACCAAAUCCCCAUUUCAAUAUUCUUCUUCAAUGGCAUCGUCAAGAAAAUUCUUUCAUGCAAAACCAAGCUACAUAUAUCCGACCCCAGUAGCUGAAACCGCAAUCACUGCUACCGAUAACAAUCUUUUUGAGUUUGAUGAAGAUGACAUGUACAGACCCAAUGAGUCUGUUAAUGUCAAUGUUCACGUGGAGGCUGCCAAGAAACCGAUACCCAGUUCACGUUCAUCAAGAAAGCUUGCGAAGAAGAUCGAAGACCGGAAAAUAAUGCCCUUGACGUCGGCUUCAUUGCCGGUGAACAUACCGGACUGGUCAAAGAUUUUGAAGGACGAGUAUAGAGAGCAUAGCAAGAGAGAGAGCGAUGAAGACCGCGGCGGAGGCGGCGGCGAUGACGAUGAAGACAAGGAGGAAGAGUACUACGGGUUGGUUCCUCCUCAUGAAUAUUUAGCCAUGAGGAGGGGAGCUUCAUUUUCUGUUCAUGAAGGCAUAGGGAGGACUUUGAAAGGAAGAGAUCUGCGCCGGGUCAGAAAUGCAAUUUGGAAAAAAGUUGGCUUUGAGGAUUAAUUAAUUAAUUAGCAGCAAUUAAACAUUUUAUUUAUUAUUACUACUUGAGUGAGGAUCAAUUAUUGAAAAUUUUGAUAGAAAUAGAUGAUCAAAUCAAUGUCCCGGUGCUUGUAUUUUGUUAUCUCGCUCCUCUGGUUUUUGAUGUUUUGAGUACAUAAUCAGAGGAUGAAUUUUUGCAUUUUGUAAUUAUUUGACUUUGAGAUACAUAAAUGUUGGUUUAGCUUUCAUAAUUUAAAAUAAUUAUCAAGUUUUUCUUUGUACUUUAAAAAAUGACCUAAAUAGUCCCUAUUCUAUCAUAUAUUUUUCGCAUGUUGCUCGAUAGAUUUAUUUAAAUUUUAAGUUAUCUAAUAUAAAAAUGUUUUUUCACGAUUGAAAAGUUGAAUCCAACAUUACGAAAGUAACAACACUAGGGUUUUCGAUGAUGUAUACUUAAAAAUACAUAUACUAAAUGAGUAAUUAGUUUAGAUUAUAAGAACUAGAUGAGUAUUUUUCCACUUUUUUUUUUUUUUGGUUGUUGAAAUAAUGGGGUUAAUUCAUUCAAUAAUGCAAUUUCGGAGAGACAAUGAGGAAGAUGAAGAUGUGGACUUGUAGAGUUGGUGGUUGGCACGAAAGCUACUGACAAGCUGAAACAACCCUUGAAGUAAAAAAUUCAUUCAUCAUUAAUAUUCUUGCUUCUAGAAUGGCAAUAAUAUUAAAGUCAUUUUCUUUUGCUUUUCUUCUUCAAUUUGUUUCGUGACAAUAAAUGGGAAUAAAAAUGUUUAUUUUAUGGGGCAACAAUAAUGCGUAUUGCAGUUUGUACAUUAUUUUUUAAUGGAUAAGGAUGAAAGAUAAAGGAUGGAAGGAAAUUGAUCAUUCGCCUGCACUUUGCAUGGGACUCGAUGACAGCUAGAUUCAAUGCAGAAAAGAUGGAAACUCUUAUCUUCGAUAUCAUGGUCUCUCUUUCACAUAGAUAAAUCAAACACAAAAGUGUAUUAUUAAUAUGCACGUUAGAUAACUUUUGGAACUCAACAUUACCAGAGCUUUAAAUUUCUUUGAAACAUCUUUCCUAAGCUAAUGUGAUGAAUAAAUUUUUCUAAUGAACCCAUAAUAUAUAAAAGUAGAACCUCUAUAAAUUAACAGAGUUGGUAUUAUAUAAAAUUUAUUAAUUAAAAGAAAAAUUAAAUAACCGGUAAAUUAAUAAUUUAUUAAUUUAUAGAGUUACUUACAAAUUCAAUCAACAUAUAUUAACAAAAUUUCAUAAUUUCUUAUUACAAUUCGAGAAGUGGAGACUAGAGACCGAAAAAAUUUAUUACAUAAUAAAGAUUAUUAACUUGUCAAGUAUUAGUUUAAAGAGGUUCUAAUGUAUGUGUGCAUAUAUAGCUUCGUUAUAAUUGAAAAAAAGAAUAUGGAAAUAAAAAGUCUAAAUAAAAUAGUCAGCCCAUCAAUACCAAAUUUUCUUGAAAAAAAAAAAAUUAUCCUAAUAAUCUGGGUUUUGACCACGUGGGCAACGAGAUAAAAUCAUGUGGAUCAUUGCCAAACCAAAACGCAUGGCAAUUAAGACUCCUUUCUGUUUGUAUUAUAAUAAAUGAUGAAACAAGGGGUGGUGCAGCUGAUUGAUUGAAAUUGUUGGCCAUGGCUUUCAAUUUUAAUGCAUUUUAUUUUUCCUACCAAGGUUGCGUAUUGAGUAAACUUGGGCCACCGCAAUGGUUCAUGUCAUUAGUUGUCACGAAGAGAUGAAUGGUCAAGCGUACGCAAACUAAUGCUUUGUCAAUUUAUGUCUACGAUGCUUUUAAAUCUUGAUGAUGGUUGUCGCUGCAAUUCCACGAAGAUUAGCUGAGUGGACAGUGAGGGUUGGAGAGAAGGAAAAUUACUCGUUCUUAAAAUCAACAUUCUUGAGCCGAAAGAGCAGACGCAAAAAGGGGGGAAUGUUUUCCAUUUCUAAUCCUCCCGUGGCUGCAUUCUUAAUUAGAAUAAGAUUCUGACUCGGCACCUUUUGAAAGGAAUUGUUCUUUUAGAGAGCACAGUGCACAGAGUUCUAAGCGUACGUAAAAUUGAUAUCUGACAUUUUUUUUUUCGCUGGGGUUCUAAAUUUUAAAUCACAAAUGUUAAAAGGUCGAUUGGAUAAAAACUAAAAAAAUCACUGUCAAUCCAAUUGGUUUUUGGGUCCGGGUACCUUGUACCUACUCCCUAUUUUGUCCAUUUGUGAGUUGACCGUUGGAUCUAGCCACAAGUUGUUUCGACGGUGUGGAUAUGUUUCUUUGGGUUUUAACUUUUCUGUCCUUGUUUUUUGAUGAAAAAGCAAAAAAAAUCAAAUAUUUCACAAUUUUGACUCACAAGUUCCAAUUAUUUUGAAUUUUCACACUUAGGUCCAUUAACUUAUUUCGGCCAUUAAAAUUAAUGACGGCGUAAACUAGGAUGGCAAUAAAAUCCAAAUCCGACCCACAUCCGCAAGGAUCCGGAACUUCCAGAUCCAGGAAAAUUCAGAUUCAGAUUUAAAAAAAAUACCGAUUCAGAUGUAGAAAAUCAAGAUCCACACGGAUUCGAAUGCGGAUCGCUAGAUCCAAAUGCAAGUACAUCUAGAAAACUAGAUAUCAAAAUCCAAUUAAAUUAAAAAUUAUAUAUUAAAAAUUAAAAAUAAAUUUUAUUUAUGGAUUUAUGAUGUGUUGUGUGUUAUUCAUGUUGAAUUAUGAUUGAAUUUUAUUUGAUAUUAUUAGGUAAAUUAUUGAAUUUUAACUUAAAUUAAAAUAUAUAUUAAAAAUUAAAAAUUAAAUUUUAUUUGUGAAUUUAUGAUGUUGUUGUGUAUGUUAUUCAGGUUGAACUAUUGAACAGCAGAUGAUGUGUUGUGUGUUAUUCAUGUUGAAUUAUGAUUGAAUUUUAUUUGAUAUUAUUAGGUAAAUUAUUGAAUUUUAACUUAAAUUAAAAUAUAUAUUAAAAAUUAAAAAUUAAAUUUUAUUUGUGAAUUUAUGAUGUUGUUGUGUAUGUUAUUCAGGUUGAACUAUUGAUUAUUGAAUUAUGAUUGAAUUUUAUUUGAUAUUGUUAGGUAAAUUAUUGAAUUUUUUAAAUUAUGCAUUAAAUUAUUAAAUUUUGAUUUUUGCAAAUCCGGAUAUUCAAAAUAUCCACCCCCAUCUAUUGCGGAUAUUACCUGUAUCCGGAUCAACAUAUUUUUUUUUUUACAGAUAUGGAUGCGGAUAUGAAUCCGGAUGUAGGUAGAGAUGGCCAAUGGGUCAGACAGCAUGUGACACGGCAUGACAUGAGCACGGUGGGGCACGUGACACGACACGUACGUGGGCUGGGUCAGGCUUAAAAUUUUAGGCACGCAGACCUUAAAAGUACGACAUGAGUAGAGAUGGGCCAAACUCGACAUAAUAAAAAAGCCCGCAAUAAACACGUUUUAUUUUUUUAAUGAAAGCAAACUUAAAAUUUUAUGAUUUUUCAAAUAACUUGAAAUUGAAUUUUUUAAAAUCAUUUAAUUCUUAGUUAAAAAAUACUAUAAUUGAUUUAUAUUUAUAAUUUAUUAAAUGAAUAAUUGAUAUCAUGAUUUUAAAGAAUAAAUUAUAAAUAUCAUGAUUCUAUAAAUAUGCAUUAAUAUUAUGGUGAACUAUGAUCUAUGACUUUAUGUAAGUCCAAGUUAACAAUUAAGUUAACCUUAAUAAAUUUUUUUUAUUAUUAUUGUUGUUCAGUAUUAAAAAAAAAUCUAAUAUUAUAAGGUCAAACUUAGUAAUUAAUAUUAUAUUCUCUUACUAUUAUUAGUUUAUUAUUAUUGAAUAUGAACUUGAUUUUUGAAUUUUUGAUUCUAUUAAAUUUGGAUAAAGGUAUAGACCUAAAAAAAGUAUAUACACUAGAAAAAAAGUAAACCAACAACUUAGUAUGCGCUCUUAAAAAAUUAAGAAAAAAUAAUUAUUGAGCUUUUUUUCUUAGGCAUGGCACGACAAGUGUGGGCACUGCAUGAGUGAGCAUGAUACGUGUGCCGGGCCGGGCCUAAGCAAAAAACAAUUAAGCACGGCACGACAUGGGUACGAGCACGCAUGUGUCUUAUUUUGAUGGGUUGGGCCUGUUAAAAAAAAUAACAGUGAGUUAACAAUUAAAAACAGUAGCUAAUUAAUGUGAAAUUAAUUGAUAACAAAAUUAAACUGUAGCAAGACAGCAACAUGAAUUAAACACCAGGGAGAAGAAAUUAACGAAACAAAGAAAAUAAACCCGAGACCUGUAACACAGUGUCCUUACAACAAAUUUACCACCUACUUCAGUGCUUUAGGUUUGCUGGUAACUGUUUCUCAGGAUACAACGGGUUCAAAUUAUCCGUCAAGCAUAGAUAAAUAAUUCCAGUGAGCCACAAUAAUGGUCAAACUCGAUCAGAAACCAGAUGUCAGAAGGAGGAAAGGAAAUUUUAAGUGCUCUGUGUGCUAGUUGCUGUUUGUGUGUCCAAAACAGAAGAUGAAGCUACCUUUUUAUACACACGUGAGUAUGUAACAGUAGCAUAAAAUUGAAUUUUCGGAUUCAAUAUAUGCGAUUUAAUGUUGUAACAGUUAAUUGAAUAAAAAAAAUUCAAUUCAGUCUAUUGAAUUCAAAAUUGAAUUGCAUAAUAGCCCAAAAAAUAAUUGCGAAGCUGUUACAAAUCCUUUGAAUUUAAAAGAUUCACAAAUAAUAAUUGUAAACUGUUUCAAAAAUUUAAAAGGAAAUUAAAAAUGUGUCAUGCAAGCUUAGGUGAUUUUGGGUUGACAUUCGCAUACGCAGGACGCGCGGGCGCACACGAGUUCAACCAAAUCAGUCUUGGAUUCGCACCGCCCCCCCGGUGAGCACGCGUGUGGAGAGAGUCUCUAUCAUUAUAAUUCUUGCUCAUGCUUGGGUAAGUGUCUAUAUAUAAACGCAAAUCCCUUGGCUUAUUUUUCCCUUAUGGGAUAAACCUCAUUUCCUUUCAAAUUUUCAACUUCAAGGGUGAACUUUGAGAGACAAUUUCUCAUUCACCCAAGCACCAUUUUGAAUAAAUAAAUAUACACUUUCAAAGUAUUCACGGAGUAAAAUCCAAACCUCACAAGAUUUUUCACUUUUGCUAAGUGGGACCCACUCAAAAUGUGCCCUCAAAAUAGCAUAUUGCUAUGCUAUUUUUUCAACAAUGCCCCACAUGAAUGAAAAUUGGUAGUAAAACAGAAAAAACUGCUAAAUUUUGACAUUAAAGCCAUUUUUAACCUUAAUGAUCGAGUUUAUUGGAUCGAUACCUAGCAUGUUUUACUCUUUGAACCUUCCCUUAUGAUAGUAUAUUUACUUUACUGGCUGAUCAAUAGAUGCGAUGUCUUUGAACUGUUCUGCCGUUAGUGUCAACGAUCAUAUACUACACAUAGGUAUUUCUCCUAACACUGUUGAGUUUUCAUGGUUAUGUUUGUUUUGGCCUUGAACAUCUACUUAGUUCUGCAAGAGUUUCUAAGAGUUGAACCCUUAACAAUUCCAUUUGAAGCGACCCCACUUCUCUCUCAUAUAAGUGAUAUCUUAAUUAAGAGUAACCUGUAUUACUCCGCUCGGAUUUUUGACGCAUAAGAAUCAUUAAGAGCCUAGCUCAACCUUAUUUCCCACGGGCAUUACUGUUUCAUUAUAGGAAUGAUCAAUGAGGCAAUCCUUUCAAGAGAAUGACCACCCACAGUGAUCCAACUUUAGUAUUUAACAAUUAAGUUGUCUUAUUGAACCUAGAUCUUGGGAUCUUCCGUCAACUAGGUUGCGUUUUCCUUCGUUAUUGACUACUCAUUCUAUGGGUUUUAAUCUCAUUCCCUUUGAUGAUUUUCCACUAGCUCUCUAUUUAAUCAUUUAGUUAGAGGAUCCACAAUGUUAUCUUUUGACCUCACAUAAUCAAUAGAAAUAACUCUAAUAGGAAUAAACUGUCUAAUGGUAUUAUGUCUACGACGUAUGUGUCUAGACUUACCAUUAUACAUAUUACUCUGUGCCCUACCGAUAGCUGAUUGACUAUUGCAAUGAAUAUAAAUUGUAGGCAUUGGCUUUGGCCACUUUAGAAUACCUUCUAAAAAGUUGCGUAGCCAUUCUGCUUCUUCACCACAUUUAUCUAAUGCAAUGAAUUCUAAUUCCAUUGUAGAUCUGGCAAUUACUGUCUGUUUAGAAUACCUCCAUGAUACAGCUGCACCUGCUAGUAUAAACACAUAGCCGCUAGUGGAUUUUGAAUCUUUUACAUCAGAUAUCCAGUUAGCAUCACUAUAUCCUUCUAAUACUUCUAGAUACCUAGUAUAGUGCAGUCCAUAAUUACGAGUGUAUUGAAGAUUCCUAAGUACUUUUAUGAUAGCUUUUCAAUGAUAUCUUCCUGAAUUACUCGUAUAUCUACUAAGUUUGCUUAUUAUAUAGGCUAGGUUUGGUCUGGUACAGUUUGUUAAGUACAUCAGACUGCCUAUCAUUCUAGCGUAUUCUACUUGAAAAAUACCUUCUCCUUGAUUUCUUGAUAGAUGUAUACUCGUAUCUAAUGGACUUUUAGACACGGUGUUAUCAUCUUUAUUAAAUUUCUCAAGAAUUUUAUCUACAUAAUGAGUUUGACUUAGAAUAAGUUCAUUAGAAGCCCUUGAGAUUUUGAUCCUCAAAAUGACAUCCGCAAGACCCAUGUCUUUCAUGUCAAAUUUAGACUUCAACAUAUUCUUGGUAGAUUUAAUCAUGUCAUCAUCACUCUUAACAAUGAGCAUGUCAUCAACAUAUAAACAUAAAAUGACAUAGUCAUUUUCUGUUUCUUUGACAUAAACACAUUUGUCAUAUUCGUUGAUCUUAAAUCCACUUGUGAUCAUCGUAUGAUCAACAUUUUCAUGCCACUGUUUUGGUGCUUAUUUCAAGCCAUAUAAUGACUUUAUUAAUUUACAAACUUUCUUUUCUUGUCCUAGAGCAAUAAAACCUUCAGGCUGCUCCAUGUAGAUUUCUUCAUCUAAAUCUCCAUUCAGAAAAACUGUCUUUACAUCCAUUUGAUGUGUCUCGAGAUUGCGCAAAGUUGCAAUUGCUAUUAUCAUCCGAAUGGAAUUUAUUCAUGUAAAAGGAGAAUGAGUAUCAAAAUAAUCAAGGCCUUCUCGUUGCCUAUAACCUUUAAUUACAAGCCUAGCCUUGUACUUAUUGAUUGAUCCAUCGGCUUUCAUUUUUCUUUUGAAAAUCUACUUAUACCCCAAAGGUUUACAUCCUGGAGGGAGAUCUACUAGCUUCUAGGUAUGAUUUUGUAAAAUGGAUUCAACUUCACUGUUAAUGGCUUCUUUCCAUAAAGCGCCUUCAGGUAAAGUUACAACUUCUUUGAAGCUUUAAGGUUCAUUUUCUAACAAAAACGUCAGAAAGUCUGGACCAAAAGACUUUUUUAUUCUAUCUCUUUUGCUACGUCUGACCUCAACUUCUUUUUCUUAUUAUUCUUCUGUAGCUUCAUCAUUUUCUUCAUUUUGACUAUUUUCAAUUAUUGCUUUAUGAAAUUGUCGUAGUUCUCUCGAUUCCACUAUAGAAUUACAAGAAAACACAUGUUCAAAAAACGAUGCAUUUCUUGAUUCUAUUAUCAUAUUUUUGUGGACAUUUGGAACUUUAAACUCAUGCACCAGAAAUCGAUAAGCACUACUAUUUUGUGCAUAACCAAUGAAAAUGCAGUCAACAGUUUUUUGUUCUAUUUUCACUUUUUUAUUUAAAGGAACUACUACUUUAGCAAGACACCUCCACACUCGUAAAAAUUUAUAAGAAGGUGUUUUACCUUUCCGUAGCUCAUACAGGGUUUUAUCUUCUUACUUUCGAGGUAUCUUAUUUAAUAAAUAAUUAGCUGACAAAACAGCUUCUCCCCACAUAUUCUGGGGUAACCCAGAGCUUAUCAACAUUGCAUUCAUCAUUUCCUUUAAAGUUUGAUUUUUCCGUUUUGCAAUCCCAUUAGAUUGAGGUGAAUAUGGAGCCGUGACUUGAUGUAUGAUUCCACUUUGUUCACAUAAUGACUCAAACGGAACAACAUAUUCACCACCACGGUCACUCCUUAAUUCUUUGAUUUUUCUAUUAAGUUGAUUCUUAACUUUAUUUUUCUAUUAAGUUGAUUCUUAACUUUAUUUUUAUAAAGAAUAAACUUUUCUAAAGCUUCAUCUUUACUUUUCAACAAGUAUACAUAGCAAUAUUUUGUGCAAUCGUCAAUAAAGGUAAUAAAAUAUUUAUUACCACCUCUUGUUUGAAUGAAUUUAAAAUCACAAAUAUCAUUAUGUAUUAAAUCAAGUGGUUCAGUGUUUCUUUUAAUUGUUUGGAAAGAUAACCUAGUUAGUUUUGCCUCAACACAAGUUUCACACUUAUGUUUCAAAUCAAUUUGGAAAUUGGGAAUAUGCUUCAUGUUAAUUAAUUUACGCAAUGAAUUAAAAUUAACAUGUCCUAAUCUACCAUACCAAAGAUUAGAAGACUCAAGCAAAUAAGCAGAAGAACUAGUUUCAUUAUUAAUUUUUGGUUUCACAAUCAUUACAUUGAGUUUAAAUAGCCCAUCAUUAACAUAACCCUUUCCCACAUACAUCCCAUUCUUUAACAAAACUACCUUAUCUAACUCAAACACCAUUCGAAAACCAUGUUUGUUCAACAGCGAUCCAGACACCAAGUUCUUCCGAAUUUCUGGCACAUAAAGCUCAUCGUUCAGAGUCAGCUCUUUUCCAGAAGUCAUCUUUAGAAUCACCUUCCCUUGACCCUCAAUCUCAAACGUAGCAGAAUUCCCCAUGAAUAGCUUCUCUCUAUUGCUAACUGAUUCAAAUGAAGUGAACAACUCUUUGUUCGAUCAAACAUGUCUGGUUGCUCCCGUAUCAAUCCAUCAUUCUCUCGGAUUAGAGCCAACCAGAUUCACUUAUGAAACCACUGCAUAGAGGUUUAUGUCUGAAACAUGUUGAGUGAUGUUUUCCACCACAUUAGCCUCUCAUUUCUUUUUAGGCAAUCUGCAAUCCGAAGCCUUGUGACCCAUCUUGUCACAGUUAAAGCACUUUUCCUUGAAACUUUGUUUGCUUCUUGGAGAUUCCUCAUUUCGGACCUAAUAUUUUUAUUUUUCUUAUUUUUAGGUCCAUAUUCAACAACAUUUGCCUUAGCCACAGAAAUUGCCCUUCUUCUUUCUGCAUUUCUGUUAUCUUCCUCAAUUCAAAGCUUAACAACUAGCCCUUCAACAUUCAUUUCCUUGUGUUUAUACUUCAAAUAACUCUUGAAAUCUUUCCAAGUAGGAGGCAAUUUUUCAAUAAUUGCAGCCACUUGAAAAGUUUCACUUAACAUCAUUCCUUCUACAAGGAUUUCAGAUAAUAUGAUUUGAAGCUCUUGUACUUGACUUAUUAUAAUUUUGGAAUCCACCAUUUUAUACUCUAGGAAGCGGCCAAUAACAAACUUUGGUACCUACAUCUUCAGUUUUAUAUUUUCGGUCUAAGGAUUCUCAUAGCUCAUUGGUUUUUUUUUUUCCUAUAUAUACAUUAUACAAGGAAUCACUAAGCCUAUUCAUUACAUAAUUUUUACAUAAAAUGAUGGGAUCCACUCAAAAUGUAACCUCAAAAUAGCGUAUUGCUAUGCUAUUUUUUCAAAAGGGCUCGCAUGACAUGGCCCAUUAGCCAUCUCUAGAUAUAGGUAAACUAUAAAGUGAUAAAACACUGCAACAUCAAUGUUGAUUCUUAAAUUAAAUGUUAGUUUAUUUUUGUCAUCUUUCCAUCUGUUUGUUUUUAUUUUAAUUUUGGAAUUAAAAUAUUUUUGAAUUAUGGAUGGCCGAAAAUUUUAAAUCUCUAAUUAUUUGAUUUUUUUUAUCUCGAUUAAAAUUGGGAUUCGGGGUAACAUUUCAUCUCAUUUAAUAAAUUGGUACCAAGAUGCUUCAAAAAAUUUCGUUGAGAUCUCAAAUUGUCGAUUGCACUGUUUUUUAUCUUCAUUUAAUUUAAAAUAUGAUUAUAAUAGAUAAAAAAAAAUUUAGAAAUGGAAUAAAAAUAUUUAAUAUCAAACACAUACCAUUUGAUUGUAGCAUGAUAUUUAGGGUAAAAGUUAGUUUAAUCCCUAUAUUUUGACAUUAGUGCCAAUUUAGUCAUUAUGUUUUAGAAAAAUACCUCAAAGCAUCCCUAUCGUUAAAUUAUUGACAUCCCUGCCAUUAUUUGUUAUUUCUUUUGGCUUGCUUUUAAAGUAUUACCCUCUUACAAUAAUGUUCAUUUUCUUUAAAAUUAAUAAAAAAAUAAAUUAUCAAUUUAACAGUUCGAUUCAGUUUUAAAUCGAAUUGAACCGUUAAUUUUUUGUUAAAAUAAUAAUUUAAACCGAAUUGAUUUUGUAUGAUUUUUUAAUACUAACAGUAAUUUUCUUUAUGUUUUAAUUUUUUUUAAAUUUUUCUCAUAUAAACUGAUCUUUUUUUAAUUUUAAAACCUAUUGCACCGUUUUGGAUCAACUAUACAGAUAUUUUUUUUUAGGGUGCGUUUAGAAUUAAGGUGCUGUAUCUUAAAAGUUAUAGUUGUUGUGGAAAAAAAACUGUAACUAUGAAACAAAAAUUAAUAAUAUAUAGUAAAUAUAAAUUUUAAAUAAUAAUUUUGAUAAAAUUAUUAAAGAUGUAAUAAAUUUUUUAUUAUACAAGUAAAAAAUUAUAUCAACAUAAUUUCUAAUUCACAGACAAAUAAUAUUUAUUAAAUACUUUAUUACUGUAACUUUUAAGCUACAGCUACCCAAACUCAAUUUCAAACGCAUCCUUAACCCACCCUAGCCAUCUCUACGGGUAGACAAUUGCUUUCAAUAAAAUUUUAAUUCUUUUAAUUUAUUUAAUAUUUCCUUCUAAUUCUUAAUAAAAAAAUCCAUCAAAAUUUUUUAUUUUCUUAAUAUUCAACUUGUAAUCAAUUAAAAGAAAACUAAAUAUAUUUAUGUCAUUAUGGUUUGGAAAGGGGAACAAUUCAAAGCUCAUCGUAACAAACGAAACGAUGUGAUUUAGGAAACGUAAAGAAGGGGAUGGCAAGCAAACAUCAAGAGCACCCGAUUCACCCGAAUGACGCCGGUUAACAAGUCUGCUUAUCAUGAGACGAACGUCUUACCUGGGGCGUCGUCUUGUCUUUGUUAGGCAAAGCGAAUAACAGAGAGCGAGUAAGAAAGAGAGACACCAAACAAGAAAAUUAAGACAUGAGGGGGAGGAGGGCGCGCGUGUUAGUGGGUUUGGUGAUAGUUAUGUUAAUGGGUACCGCCGUUUACUUGAGGCUCUGGAUUAUCGAUUAUACUGUUUCUUCUGCUGACACUGAGUUGCUCAGGUUUUCUUUUAUUUUUUGUUUUACAAGUUUUCUUUCUUUACUGAUUUUGCCCUUUUCUUGUAAUUGUAAGAAAUGGGUUUUCUUGUGGAAUUGUAAUAUUUUAGGAGACAGUUUGAUCUUGCAAAUAGGGAGGCAAUGGAUGAGUCUGCAGAAUGGAGACUCAAAUAUGAUAAACAAGUGGAGAGGGUAACCAAGUGUACUCAAGAACUAAACAGGGUAUGAAUUCAGUUGUUCAGGUCAUGGCAAUGUUUCUGUUGUGAUUAAUUAGGAUUAUAAUGAUUUCUAGGUGUUUUAAAGAAUGCAUUGAUUGUCAGUUAGUUAGAAAUAAGAUCUGUGGUGGGAAAUUUUCAUGCUGUAUUUUGCCUUUCCCUGUCACGUUUAGUUAGGUUUACUUCGCAUAACAGUUGGAUUUGCCGGAUUAGAUUAAUUUUGUUAAUGGGUAUCUUUCUAAUGUUUAUAGUCAGUUUAUAUUGGUCUGAACAGAUGAAUUGAGUCCGGCAAGUCAUCUAUUCUUCCAUUAGCACCAAUACUCAUUGAGUUGCGUCUGAGUUAUCAUGUUGUGCAAACUGUUCGGUAAAAUUAAUUCUUUAAUUUUUCAUUGGACAUUUCCAGUAUGACGACUGGUAAAAGGACUUAGACAUAAAGUACAAAGCAGGCAUUGAAUUUUAAAGAUGUUAUUAGUGAAAUAUUAUCGGAUUACCAUUAUCCCUGGGUUUAAGCAAAUGCAGUUGUGAACAACUAUUCAAUUUUGUUCAAUAUUAUACUAUAUUUUGAGCUUGUGUUUUAGGUAACAAUAUGCCUGCAGAAAACUACUCAUUUUUGUAUUUAGGAGCCGAAAUAUUGAGUUUGUAUUGUACACAUUGGGACUGAAUAAUAUUUGUUACAUUUAACAGGUUAAGGAAUCUUUUGAGAAGCAGAUCAAGGAUCCUGCUAACAUCAACCAAAAAAUUGUAAUGCUUCAAAAGGUGACACUUUAAUGCCACAAUCUCUCAUUUCUCAAUGUCGGCUACUACUGUUUCUUCCCCUAUAGGCAAAACCUUUGAAAUUUGUUUAGUAUUUAAUUUCUUAUCCCUCAAAUAUUUUCUCGUUCUGCCACUUAGGGAACACCAAGAUUUAGUCAGUUUUGCAUGAAAUAACUUGAUCAGUGUAUUAAAUACUUUGCUCCAGUUGAAAUGAACUUCACUCUGGCUUUUCUUAACAAGGCCUAAAGAUUUCAUCAAAAGCAUUUAUUAUGUUCCGAGUAUAGUCACCUCAAUUUUCUUUCCUUUUCUUCAUUUGAUUUUGAUAUUUUUUAACAAGUUUUUAUUAUUUCUAGGAAAAUAAAGCCUUGCUUGAAAGGAUAAAAGUCUUAAAUCAGCAGCUUGAGGCUCAGAAGAUGAAGUGCAGCUCAUGAUAGAUAAACUGGUUUCUGAAAGGUUGAAUAGAUUUCACCAGAAUUAUGUAUCAUGACGUAGCAACUAGUCAGUGGUUGCCUGAUAGAAGUUGUAGUCAUAAGUUUUGCCCAAUGAGUUCGCAACUUCCAGGAAGAAGUUAUUCAACUACGAAAGGCCAUUUUUUUUCAGUAUACCAUCAUUCUUCUCAUCCAUGUACACUGUGGUCUGGGCAUAGUUUUUUUUUUUUUUUUUUCAGCUAAAGGGGAUCCAUGUAACAACAGCAUGCUGUUUCCAUUUCUUGUGGGUUUCUGGUAUAUAAUGGAAAAGGUUGGUUAGAUAUUUCAGCUGCUUGAUGCUCAAUAAUGUAAUUUUUUUUUAAAAUUUGGAGAACCUCUUGCUCUUAGUGCAUUUUUUUUCUUUUUUGAACAGAUAGAGCUGCAAUAAGUCAUAGUGCAAUAUUUUAUCUUGAGAUUCUUUUGUGCACACAAAGGCAAAAUCAGAAGUUGAAUAGUCCUGUUAGACGGUAGAUAGUCUCCCCAACUUUCGGGUUGUACCUCCAUCUUCCAUUCAUAAAUAUUGGAUGAUCAGAUACAAUAGUCAGAUGCUGAUGAAAUUACAUAUUUCUGGUUCCGGAGCCUUUCUUUCCAAUCUUAAAAUCAUAGUUAGUUAGCUAUUUUUGAUUUCUUGUGCUUGACAAACCAUGAGGAUCUGUUGUAGAGUCGGACUCAGUUCUCAGAUCCUGGAGAAACCUCGAUAUCGUCUGCACAAAUACCUCAUUUUGGUCUGGCUGACUUGAGGACGCAGGGGCAGUAGUAGUAGCAGCAUUGCUGCUGCUUCCUCCACAUCUCUAUAAAAAACCAAGAAACCAAACUAUUAACACGCAAAAGUAUGCCAAAUAUGGUAAUGUUGAAAUGCAUAAACAAGCUGCAAUUAUAGCUUAAAAAGAAACUUACAGAGGCUACUCUUCUUCGUUUUGGUGGUUUUGUCCUGGCACUCAUCAUCUCAAUCAGCUCAUCAAACUGUGGGUCGAGCCGAAAAAGUUUCAGUCACUUUCCAAUUACAUAGAGCUAAGCAUUGCAAAUAAAUAAGCUACAAUAUUAUAGAAUGUAAUGGUUGCUUAUAUUGUAAGUAUCCUUGUUACACAAAUACCUGCUUCACAAUUAUUUUGUACUUCCUCACACAUUGAUACAGCCUUCUUUCAUCGUCUUGUUCGUUGGACAUAUUUUGUAUGACAAUGUUGUUGAUUAUGUGAAAGCUUCCUGCAGCCUUAGUAUAUAUAAGUGUUUAAGAGCAUGUAAUUAACAUGAAAAGAGGUUGCUUAAAGAAAUGUAAUAUGGCCGUUACCACCGACCUCUGUUACAGAGGUAAUAAAAAGUAGAAGAGAAUAAACAGUUAGCUUGCCGCCAUUGCCUUUCUCCUUUAAACAUGUAAACGCAAUUCUUGUGAAGAGAAACUUAAUGAAACAUAUGUAACCACUUCUACUCCUAGAAAGAAGUAACAGAGCCAAUAACAAGAUAAUAAAAUUCUUGCCAUAACAAGAGAUUUGACACGUAAAAUAUAAUCAACAGUGUAACUAACAACAUUACCAAUCCCCCCACAAAUCAUGAGAAAGAAAAUAACAAAACAGCUUUCCAUACAUUAUACAGAAAAUAAGUAAGAGAGUUUCUCCUUUCUGGCUGCUAAUGGGGUUUGUUAAGAGUUAACUGCUUGAGACUGCAAAAAGAAAAAUCCUCAGGUUUUUUGCCAUACAAAGAAAAAUUUGAAAAUUAUGAAUAAUUAAUUCCGAGAAGGAGCAGCAGCUCCAGGCUCUGAUCCAGCCUCCCCAAGUGAGUUUGUCUUCUGUGCUGUUGUUUUGCUUCGAGCUCUAACGCUCUUUGCCUCUGUUAUUCAGCAAGCUAAUCCAUUUUUGCCUUGUGUUCCGGUUCUUCCUUUCUUUGUCUCUCAGCCUCUUCGUGCAUCCAACGGUUCAUCAGCACUCUUUCUUGGAAUAUGUUCUUUUUCUCCAACAACCUUGAAAGCCUAUGCUUUCCUUAAGGUCUUCAUCAUGGCGUUGUCUGCUCAACUCAACCUCUUGCUGUUGUUCGAUUUCAUGAAGCACCCUCUCCUCCUCCAACCGUUGUUGGAAAGCAGCUUCGAUCAAGGGGAUGGCCUCCUCUCUUUUUGCUCUUUCCAAAUAAUCCAAUGUUUUAGCCAGUUUUCGUAACUUUUUAUCCAUCUCUUGCCUCUCCCUCAGCUGCUGAUCCAUUAUUGGCUUUUUGGCUUCCUUCUUUUUACUACUGCUACACUUCUCAGCUUCCUCAUCAAGCAGUGCUUGUGCUCCUUCAAGUUGUAUGAGGAGGAUUCUUUGAUUUUUCCUUAGCUCAAAUUCAGCUGCAAGCCUUUUCUGCUCAGCCUCUUCCGCUGUCUUCUUCUGUUGCCUUAACAUCCUCCCAGACUCCUCCUCCCAUUCCAUUUCAAUAAGUUGGCGUUUGUGCUCUUCCAGCUUCAAUUUCUCAAUGAUUGAUUUCCGAGCAACAAGUCUCUCAUGUUCCUUAUCCACAACCUCACCUAAACCUGCAGACAACAUUUCACGUACCUUUGAUGCAGAACGAGGAUACAUUAUUGUGGCCCUGAUUUCAUUUAAAGACUCAGAUGAUCCCUAAUCAGACCAUCGCCCAAAUUAUUACCAAAUACUACAACACCUCUCCUAUGGUCAAUUUUUUUGGCUAUGAAAUUGUAUUCUACAGCUUCAACAGAAAUCUUCUCAACGACAGAGAAAUCGAAAAAGGGGAUCACCUGAGACAAAACUCUCGAUUUUGAUCACCUGAUACACUAGAGAUACCUGUUGAAACAACCUCAGGGUAACAACCUUUUCAAGGGCAGGAACAUAACAGGAAAGUUAACCUAACUAUGAGAUUUUGGCCAAUAGAGGCUGCGCCUUUGAGGCAAGAUCCAAAGGAAGAAACUCAUGCUCUAAAAGAUUGUAAAGUUGUUUCACUUCCUGAGUUGCACAGCUCAUUACACCUAUGGAGGCCAAUUCGGAGAGAAGGGAUGAUCUUGAAAGCGCUCAUUUGUUAUCAAAUCCUGUAAGAUUAGCACAAGCAUUGCGACAGCGGUCAUAACGGACCACCAGAAGUGCAUCCAAAACAACAGAUGAUGCUAUUAGCUGCAAAUCCUUGAGGCUUAAGUUCUUACUGUAUGUCUUCUGGAGUAGUGUAAAAAGCUAGCUUGAACCAUGUAUAAGCAUGACAAAGAUGACUUGACGAUAACCAGAAUAUCUCUUUUAGCUUGGCAUAAUAGACAACAAGCAAGGAUGGCUCAGGAUUUUUCUUAACCAUGUCCAAAAGCUUGAACCAGGUGCUUCUUUUGGGUAUGCAGAAGCCCUCUUGUUUUUCAAUAAGUUGUUUUAAAGGAUAUCCGCACUUUAAAAUUUCGGACAAAAAAAUUACUAAUAUAUAUAUAUAUAUAUAAUAAAAAUACUUCUUUUCUAGAUUGAAGUGGGUUUUCUUAAUAACUGAGAAAUAAAUAGGAUAGGUUAAUCAUAAACGGAAAUUUUGAAUUCUUCUAAUCUUAAAUGGUUAAACUUCAACUUUCAAUUUAUUUCAGUCUAAUUAAUUAAAAUUGUGAUACCCUGGUUCGUUUUCUGCAAGUAAAGAUUAUAAUAUUUUAUAAUUUAAUUUAUUUAUAAGUGAACGCUUAAUUGAUUUAAUAGUUUAGAUUAAAUAUUUUUAUUUAUAAAUUUUUGAAAUUUAUGUUGUAAGAGUGUUGGUAAAUGAGACAAUAUCACUAUCAGAGUUAAGAUAAAGUCUGAUGUUGAGACCUGCCAGUUUAUUUUUAACUUCUUAUUAUAAAUAAGUGAUUCUCAUUACUUUUUUUAGCAAAUAGUAGUAAGAUUAAUUCAAACCUCUUUUAGUUAUUCCCUCUCUCCUUCUGAAUUCUUAAUUAAUGACAGAAUCUAUAGAUGCUUGCUCUCUCUCUCUCUCAUUCUCAUCAGAAAAAACACUUAGAUGCUGAAAUAGCCUCAAGAGAUUGAUUAUUCCCAAUUGAUAACUGAUCAAGUGCUCGAUAUCCUUCCAUUCCAUCAUGCUCAUAAUUAAGUUUAUAAAAACAAGAAGCUUGUUAUAAGCAUAGUCAGAGCAAAUUUGUUAUGGCUAAAUGAUAACAUAAUCUCGGGGCAUGAUCAUGCAUUGCAGAAAUGAGAAAGUACCUGGGAUAGCGGUACCAUGAACUUGACACUAUAGUUAUAAACUUGCUGAUUCAUGAAUAUUUUGAAGGUCGUAUCAAACAAGAAAUAAAAUGGCCAUAAAGUCCAAAUAACUUGCUGAGAAAAAUGAGAAAAGGAUUACUACUGACAAGUGUGAUAAACAUUGAAUAAUUAAUUGCCUAGUAGCUAGGAUUUGUUAGCAACACCUUUUCUGAUUGCAGUCCAACAACUAUACAAAGGCAAAUGAUGAUUGAUGUACAAAACUUAAGCCACAAACUAAUGAAAAAUAUAAAACCUGCAUUCAAUGAAGAAUCAGCAUCAACGUAAUGCAAAACAUCAAGUCCCGGAACCUUGGAAUUGAAUUGCUGCUCUUCUAACAGAAUAAUCAGCUUUGUUGUUGCAGAAAAAUAUGCAGAGUAGAUUCAUGACCACACGUAUCUUCAGAUAAAAGAUCAACAAAAAUCCCCAGAAAAUCAUAAUCCCCGUGUAAGAUUUCAACAUAUGGCCAGAUAUAUGAUUCUAUAUACAUACACUUGAAGUACAGCCCAAAGACUACUGAGCAUACAUCUUGGAACUAUACUCCCACAAGUAUUUGGGGAGAUAUCUAUCCCUAUACAAAUUUUUAUGGAAAGAAAGAGCCCCAUGGAGGCUCGAGGGUGCUACUUAGACUGGCAAAGAUUAGAAUGAAUCCUAUAUUUAUGUAAAAAUCAAUUCAAGACUUUCCGGGCCAAGAGUGUUGCACACAGCAGUCAGGCAGUGACAGCAAAUCAAGAUGCAUGUAAAUAACAAAAUUCCAUCAACCAUAUGUACCAGAGUAGCUGCUUCAAGGAGUCAGGUAGAAGGGUAAAAUGACUAAUGGUAUCUCCUGAAAACAGAUUCCUAAAGAAACAUGAAAAAAAAAAAAAAACACUUUCUGAAACUACUGAGAUCUGAGAAUUAAAACAUUUCAAUGUGAAACUAAUCAGGCAAUGCAACUUCACACGGAGAACAUUAACAAGGGCUAAAAGGAUAAUGUAAAGUCAUUCCACGUUUCAUAUGUUCGUUCAUUGAAAAAUAUCCAGCACACUUUAUAUAUGUACACAGUAGGUACAACUUAAUCAAUUCCAUAGCUGGAGUUACAUAGGAAAAUCUGUGCAUCGAAAGUAUGGUUCUUUGCUGAUUAUGAACUCUUGUCUACCCAAUUCUUAGUGGUUCUUUGCUGAUUAUGGACUCUUGUCUACCCAAUUCUUAGUGGGAAGCCAAUGACCAGAAAUUCAGGAGAAAGGAUGGUGAAGUAGCAAACCAACUGAUAAAAGCCAUUGCCGUAGCAGUCUCAAACCUUGUACAGUGGUUAAUUCCACAUCGGUUAAGAUCAUUGCUGAUAAGAACUGUGAUUCCUGCAGAUGAGCAGGCGGCUGCAUAUGUAAGGGUGGAUGUGAUCUGCACCGAGACAUUACCCAUUGUUAAUGCUUGGGUCUAAUAGAUGAGAUAAAUGUAGAAGUGUUUGUUAUUAAUCUAAAUAGUUAACUCUUAGCAAUAUGUAAUCUUUUUCUAAGUAGGAUGUAAACGUAAUUAUGCAAAAUCAACAUCUAAUUAGCCGAAACAAUCAUAUCUAAUUAAAUUUCCUCUCUCAGAAGGAAUUAUGUCCAAGGAAAGACUGAUUCAUGAUUAACUACAAAAUGAAUUCUAACUCCCCACCCACUCGGAAAACUAUCACGAAAGGAACGUUAAAACCAAUUUAACAGUAAACCAUUGAGAUUGUAAUAUAUGCCAAAACACUUGUGCAACCAAUGAAGGCUAUGUCAAUUUUGAAUUCAAGUAAACAAACAUUUGCCAGGAAUUAUAAAAAAAAAAAAAAGACUUUAUAGCAGAUAACUAGCAUCAACAAGCUGCAGAUACAAAACCAGAAGCUCAUGUCUAUCACAUACUAUUAGAUUUGAGGAAAGCUGACAAUACUGAUCCAUGAAAUGACAAAAUGAGAGAUAAAGGCGGCCAGAUUCCUGGAAUACCGGUGACCAAUGGCAACUGAUCUACAGAUAUUCCACAAAAUAUUCAUCUUUACAUUUGCCAGGCAUGAUAAUAGUAGUUAUCUUACCCCAUCACCAACGGUAAAUAAACGGAUAACCUUAUCAUUCCGCAGACUUCUUCUCACCAGGAUAGCAUAUAUAUCAAGCACUAACAGGGAUAGACUCCACAAACUUUGCAAGCCUAGAGCAAGAACUAGGUAGCUGAAACAGAGAAAUGAAUAAAACAUUGUCAUAUUCAUGCUAUGGCUUCAAAUAAAGAGGAUAAAUUUUAAUGCAAGAAAUAACUGGCUUAUAUUCAAACUAACUUUACAGGCCAAGCAUUUUAGGCAACAGAACAUUUAAAAAAAUAAGAAGUGUAUUUGUAAGAUAAGCUUAACUUCAAUGCUGAGGUGCUUUUGCCACAAUAGUGAAACUAUAUUAGAGAAGAAGCUAUAAAAUUUAGGCAAUCUCCUUAUUCAAUCUCAGCUGCUGAUCUUUUCUUGCUGUUAGCGUAAUUCAGCCGUCUACUGAAAAGUGCACUAAAUCUAAUAAUCAAAUUGAAUUUCUCUGUCACUUCCCAAUUGUUUCCAAAACCCUUUAAUUUUCACUUAAAUAGAAAUUUUCACCUAAUCUGAUUCUGGUAAAAGAAACCCCUUUUUCUAAAAUUACUUUAAACCCAAAAAAUAAAAAAUAAAAUAAAAUGGCUUUCCGUAAAAGAUAGAAGAACCCAGAAGCUAAUAUGGUUACCAAAAAGCGGUGGCUUCGUGAAAAUCACUGGUGGAGGCCAUGACAGAGACUGCUAUGGCUGCGAAAACAAACUGAAGAAGACGAAGAACAAGGCCGCCAGGUGUCCCAGGCAUGCCUUGCACAUCCUUCAUUCUAACUCUAAGUCCCGCCGCCUCAGUCAACGGUGGCGCCUCCACUGGGUGCACCGCUGGCCGGCUCGCGAACAUCGCUUUCGGUUAUAAGCCCCCCCGAUUAAUUUGACCAAAAGUCGACCAUCAAAAACCCUACUUACCACACUUAAAGGGAAUAUAGUGAAAGGAGAAAGCGACCCAUUUUCGGUUCUGCUUUCCACAAAAUGUUAAUGCUCACUGAUGAGACUUGAGAGCGCACUAAGAUCAGUUUGUCGCAUCUGGGACCGUUCAAAAGCAACUGGACCCCAGUUCGAUCAACGGUUUAUAUCAAUCAUCAAGUUCUUCUUUGUCGCUUUCUGAGACGGCUUCACGAUUUAAUUAUUUUAACAACGGGUGUGCUUAAUCGCGUCACGUGGUUUUUUAAAGAAUUAUUAAAGAAUCAAACCGUGGCAUUUUUUUUUUUUUGGUCUGUAAUUUAAAAUUGAACACAGUUUUUAGUUUGUUAAUUAUUCCAGGAUUCAUAUUGCUGCGUAAAUUGUAAAAAAAUCAAUGAAUAUGAGAAAAUUUGAGAAUAUAUAUAUUUAAAAACUACUGCUUAUAUUAUUAUUGCUGAUAGAAAGAGGAAAUUAGGCCCAAGCGGCUGGCCAUUACACAAUUGUAAUUACAAAAUAAUUAAAGCAAAGCGCCCAAUCCAACCUAAUUAAUUAUUAUUAGCGCCAUCCAAUCAAACGCGGACACAUCCACAUAUAUUUUUUUAGAAGUCACCACCACGGAGACGGAGGACAAGGUGGAGAGUGGACUCCUUUUGAAUGUUGUAAUCGGCGAGAGUCCGGCCAUCCUCGAGCUGCUUGCCGGCGAAGAUGAGCCUCUGCUGGUCCGGAGGAAUCCCCUCUUUGUCCUGGAUCUUGGCCUUCACGUUGUCGAUCGUGUCGGAGCUCUCCACCUCCAGGGUAAUCGUCUUCCCGGUCAACGUCUUGACGAAGAUCUGCAUUCCUCCCCUCAGGCGCAACACAAGGUGGAGCGUGGAUUCCUUCUGGAUGUUAUAAUCGGCCAGGGUGCGGCCGUCCUCCAGCUGCUUGCCGGCGAAGAUGAGCCUCUGCUGGUCCGGGGGGAUCCCUUCCUUGUCCUGGAUCUUCUG
rnacentral:lncRNA from 1 species